rnacentral:misc_RNA from 1 species
AGCAGCCGCGGUAAUUCCAGCUCCAAUAGCGUAUAUUAAAGUUGUUGCAGUUAAAAAGCUCGUAGUUGAAUUUCGGGAUCAAUAUGUUGGUCGUGCCUCGGUACGUACUAGCAUAUUGGUUUCUCCUUUCUGAAGAACCAUGAUGUCAUUUAUUUGGUGUCGUGGGGAAUCAGGACUGUUACUUUGAAAAAAUUAGAGUGUUUAAAGCAGGCUCACGCUUGAAUACAUUAGCAUGGAAUAAUGAAAUAGGACGUUUGAUUCUAUUUUGUUGGUUUCUAGGAUCGACGUAAUGAUUAAUAGGGAUAGUUGGGGGCAUUAGUAUUCAAUUGUCAGAGGUGAAAUUCUUGGAUUUAUUGAAGACUAACUACUGCGAAAGCAUUUGCCAAGGAUGUUUUCAUUAAUCAAGAACGAAAGUUAGGGGAUCGAAGACGAUCAGAUACCGUCGUAGUCUUAACCAUAAAACUAUGCCGACUAGGGAUCGGAUGAUGUUAAUUUUUU